GACGAGGGCGCGAGCGUUGUCCGGAUUUAUUGGGCGUAAAGAGCUCGUAGGCGGCUUGUCGCGUCGACUGUGAAAACCCGCGGCUCAACCGCGGGCCUGCAGCCGAUACGGGGCAGGCUAGAGUUCGGUAGGGGGAGACUGGAAUUCCUGGUGUAGCGGUGAAAUGCGCAGAUAUCAGGGAGGAACACCGGUGGCGAAGGCGGGGUCUCUGGGCAGUAACUGACGUGGAGGAGCGAAAGCGUGGGUAGCAAACAGG
rnacentral:rRNA from 1 species